GACGAACGCUGGCGGCGCGCCUAACACAUGCAAGUCGAACGAGCGAGAGAGAGCUUGCUUUCUCAAGCGAGUGGCGAACGGGUGAGUAACGCGUGAGGAACCUGCCUCAAAGAGGGGGACAACAGUUGGAAACGACUGCUAAUACCGCAUAAGCCCACAGGUCGGCAUCGACCAGAGGGAAAAGGAGCAAUCCGCUUUGAGAUGGCCUCGCGUCCGAUUAGCUAGUUGGUGAGGUAACGGCCCACCAAGGCAACGAUCGGUAGCCGGACUGAGAGGUUGAACGGCCACAUUGGGACUGAGACACGGCCCAGACUCCUACGGGAGGCAGCAGUGGGGAAUAUUGCACAAUGGGGGAAACCCUGAUGCAGCGACGCCGCGUGGAGGAAGAAGGUCUUCGGAUUGUAAACUCCUGUUGUUGAGGAAGAUAAUGACGGCACUCAACAAGGAAGUGACGGCUAACUACGUG
rnacentral:rRNA from 1 species